rnacentral:rRNA from 1 species
GACGUAGGGGGCCAGCGUUGCUCGGAAUUACUGGGUGUAAAGGGUUCGCAGGCGGUGUGGCAAGUCGGGAGUGAAAUCUCUGGGCUCAACCCAGAGUCUGCUUCCGAAACUGCUGUGCUUGAGUGUGGGAGAGGCGCGUGGAAUUGCAGGUGUAGCGGUGAAAUGCGUAGAUAUCUGCAGGAACACCCGUGGCGAAAGCGGCGCGCUGGACCACUACUGACGCUGAGGAACGAAAGCUAGGGGAGCAAACAGG